AUUGAACGCUGGCGGCGUGCCUAACACAUGCAAGUCGCACGCGAAAGGGGGCAACCCCAAGUAGAGUGGCGGACGGGUGAGUAACGCGUAGGAAUCUACCUAGUAGUGGGGGACAACCCGGCGAAAGCCGGGCUAACACCGCAUACGACCUAAGGGUGAAAGCAGGGGAUCGCAAGACCUUGCGCUAUUAGAUGAGCCUGUGUCCGAUUAGCUAGUUGGUGAGGUAACGGCUCACCAAGGCGACGAUCAGUAACUGGUUUGAGAGAACGCCCAGUCACAGUGGGACUGAGACACGGACCAAACUCCUACGGGAGGCAGCAGUGGGGAAUAUUGGACAAUGGGGGCAACCCUGAUCCAGCGACGCCGCGUGUGUGAAGAAGGCCUUCGGGUUGUAAAGCACUUUCGGCAGGGACAAACAAGACGGAGCUAACAUCUCCGUUCCUGAUGGUACCUGAAGAAGAAGCACCGGCUGACUCUGUGCCAGCCGCCGCAGUAA
rnacentral:rRNA from 1 species